rnacentral:rRNA from 1 species
GAUGAACGCUGGCGGCAGGCUUAAUACAUGCAAGUCGAACGGUAACAUGUCGGAGCAAUCUGAUGAUGACGAGUGGCGCACGGGUGCGUAACGCGUAUGCAACCUACCCAUAACCGGAACAUAACGUUGAGAAAUCGGCGCUAAUAUUCCAUGUGUAUAUUUUGUGGCAUCAUAGGAUAUAUAAAGAUUAAUUGGUUAUGGAUGGGCAUGCGUAUCAUUAGCUAGUUGGUAGGGUAACGGCCUACCAAGGCUGCGAUGAUUAGGGGUUCUGAGAGGAUAACCCCCCACACUGGAACUGAGACACGGUCCAGACUCCUACGGGAGGCAGCAGUAGGGAAUAUUGGGCAAUGGAGGCAACUCUGACCCAGCCAUGCCGCGUGAAGGAAGACGGUCCUAUGGAUUGUAAACUUCUUUUAUCAUAGAGUAACCGCAGGGACGUGUCCCUGCCUGCAAGUAUAUGAUGAAUAAGC